rnacentral:rRNA from 1 species
GGGUUGUGAGGUUAAGCGACUAAGCGUACACGGUGGAUGCCCUGGCAGUCAGAGGCGAUGAAGGGCGUGCUAAUCUGCGAUAAGCGCCGGUAAGGUGAUAUGAACCGUUAUAACCGGCGAUACCCGAAUGGGGAAACCCAGUGUGACUCGUCACACUAUCAUUAACUGAAUCCAUAGGUUAAUGAGGCGAACCGGGGGAACUGAAACAUCUAAGUACCCCGAGGAAAAGAAAUCAACCGAGAUUCCCCCAGUAGCGGCGAGCGAACGGGGAGGAGCCCAGAGCCUGAAUCAGCAUGUGUGUUAGUGGAAGCGUCUGGAAAGGCGCGCGAUACAGGGUGACAGCCCCGUACACAAAAGCGCAUGUGCUGUGAGCUCGAUGAGUAGGGCGGGACACGUGGUAUCCUGUCUGAAUAUGGGGGGACCAUCCUCCAAGGCUAAAUACUCCUGACUGACCGAUAGUGAACCAGUACCGUGAGGGAAAGGCGAAAAGAACCCCGGCGAGGGGAGUGAAAAAGAACCUGAAACCGUGUACGUACAAGCAGUGGGAGCACAGGUUUACCUGUGUGACUGCGUACCUUUUGUAUAAUGGGUCAGCGACUUAUAUUCUGUAGCAAGGUUAACCGAAUAGGGGAGCCGGAGGGAAACCGAGUCUUAAUUGGGCGUUAAGUUGCAGGGUAUAGACCCGAAACCCGGUGAUCUAGCCAUGGGCAGGUUGAAGGUUGGGUAACACUAACUGGAGGACCGAACCGACUAAUGUUGAAAAAUUAGCGGAUGACCUGUGGCUGGGGGUGAAAGGCCAAUCAAACCGGGAGAUAGCUGGUUCUCCCCGAAAGCUAUUUAGGUAGCGCCUCGUGAAUUCAUCUCCGGGGGUAGAGCACUGUUUCGGCUAGGGGGCCAUCCCGGCUUACCAACCCGAUGCAAACUGCGAAUACCGGAGAAUGUUAUCACGGGAGACACACGGCGGGUGCUAACGUCCGUCGUGAAGAGGGAAACAACCCAGACCGCCAGCUAAGGUCCCAAAGUCAUGGUUAAGUGGGAAACGAUGUGGGAAGGCCCAGACAGCCAGGAUGUUGGCUUAGAAGCAGCCAUCAUUUAAAGAAAGCGUAAUAGCUCACUGGUCGAGUCGGCCUGCGCGGAAGAUGUAACGGGGCUAAACCAUGCACCGAAGCUGCGGCAGCGACACUGUGUGUUGUUGGGUAGGGGAGCGUUCUGUAAGCCUGUGAAGGUGGCCUGUGAGGGUUGCUGGAGGUAUCAGAAGUGCGAAUGCUGACAUAAGUAACGAUAAAGCGGGUGAAAAGCCCGCUCGCCGGAAGACCAAGGGUUCCUGUCCAACGUUAAUCGGGGCAGGGUGAGUCGACCCCUAAGGCGAGGCCGAAAGGCGUAGUCGAUGGGAAACAGGUUAAUAUUCCUGUACUUGGUGUUACUGCGAAGGGGGGACGGAGAAGGCUAUGUUGGCCGGGCGACGGUUGUCCCGGUUUAAGCGUGUAGGCUG